rnacentral:rRNA from 1 species
UGAGUAUCGCGUAUACAAUCUGCCUCAUACUAGGGAAUAGCCCGAAGAAAUUUGGAUUAAUGCCCUAUAGUAUCUUUUUAAGGCAUCUUAUUAAGAUUAAAGGUUACGGUAUGAGAUGAGUAUGCGUUCUAUUAGCUAGUAGGUGUGGUAACGGCACACCUAGGCUACGAUAGAUAGGGGCCCUGAGAGGGGGAUCCCCCACACUGGUACUGAGACACGGACCAGACUCCUACGGGAGGCAGCAGUAAGGAAUAUUGGUCAAUGGACGAAAGUCUGAACCAGCCAUGCCGCGUGCAGGAUGACUGCCCUAUGGGUUGUAAACUGCUUUUAUAUAGGAAGAAAAACUUUCUCGUGAGAAAGCUUGACGGUACUAUAAGAAUAAGGAUCGG